rnacentral:rRNA from 1 species
GACGAACCGUGCGAACGUUGUUCGGAAUCACUGGGCUUAAAGGGCGCGUAGGCGGGCUGACAAGUCUGGGGUGAAAUGCCGCGGCUCAACCGUGGAACUGCCUUAGAUACUGUCGGCCUCGAGGGAGGUAGGGGCAUGCGGAACUGUAGGUGGAGCGGUGAAAUGUGUUGAUAUCGGAAGGAACGCCGGUGGCGAAAGCGACCUGCUGGAUCUCUUCUGACGCUGAGGCGCGAAAGCUAGGGGAGCGAACGGG